UCUGGCCUACGGGGCGCAGCAGUGGGGAAUAUUGCACAAUGGGGGGAACCCUGAUGCAGCGACGCCGCGUGAAGGAAGAAGUAUUUCGGUAUGUAAACUUCUAUCAGCAGGGAAGAAAAUGACGGUACCUGACUAAGAAGCCCCGGCUAACUACGUGCCAGCAGCCGCGGUAAUACGUAGGGGGCAAGCGUUAUCCGGAUUUACUGGGUGUAAAGGGAGCGUAGACGGCAUAGCAAGUCUGAUGUGAAAGAUCGGGGCUCAACCCCGGGCCUGCAUUGGAAACUGUUAAGCUGGAGUACAGGAGA
rnacentral:rRNA from 1 species